UAGGGAAUCUUCGGCAAUGGACGAAAGUCUGACCGAGCAACGCCGCGUGAGUGAAGAAGGUUUUCGGAUCGUAAAACUCUGUUGUUAGAGAAGAACAAGGACGUUAGUAACUGAACGUCCCCUGACGGUAUCUAACCAGAAAGCCACGGCUAACUACGUGCCAGCAGCCGCGGUAAUACGUAGGUGGCAAGCGUUGUCCGGAUUUAUUGGGCGUAAAGCGAGCGCAGGCGGUUUCUUAAGUCUGAUGUGAAAGCCCCCGGCUCAACCGGGGAGGGUCAUUGGAAACUGGGAGACUUGAGUGCAGAAGAGGAGAGUGGAAUUCCAUGUGUAGCGGUGAAAUGCGUAGAUAUAUGGAGGAACACCGGUGGCGAAGGCGGCUCUCUGGUCUGUAACUGACGAUGAGGCUCGAAAGCGUGGGGAGCAAACAGG
rnacentral:rRNA from 1 species